rnacentral:rRNA from 1 species
GACCGAGGGUGCAAACGUUGUUCGGAAUUACUGGGCGUAAAGCGUGUGUAGGCUGCUACAUAAGUCGGAUGUGAAAGCCCCGGGCUCAACCCGGGAAGUGCACUCGAUACUGCGUAGCUUGAGUCUCGGAGAGGUUGGUGGAAUUCUCGGUGUAGAGGUGAAAUGCGCAGAUAUCGGGAGGAACACCAAUGGCGAAGGCAGCUCGCUGGGACGGUACUGACGCUGAGACGCGAAAGCGUGGGGAGCAAACAGG